UUGUUGUAGAACACUUAAGUUUGUUCUUGAUUAAUGAUUAGGGAAUUGAAUGAAUUUGAUCGAUUUGUAUCUUAGAAAACUCAAAUUCUUGACUUGAACAUUUAAUAUUUAACUGCAAAAUAGUAAUGACAAGUCCCAAUUCACUAUUGGUUCUUUUUGCACAAGACACAUCCUCUUGCUGUCCGUUUUGUUAAACAGUAGCAUGAAGAUUUGAUAAAAGUAGCUACAUAUGGAUACAUUCUUUGGCUCUUAUUUUCAAAGAAAAUUGUUCUGUUUUAGCUUUUUGUUUCUGCACUUAGUCUUUAUAAGUUCUAUAAUAAGCACAUUGAUUGACUGCAAGAAGCCUGAGCUUGUUAGCCUAGCUCUUUGAUGAUUGCUUAUUGGUCUCAGAAGUUUUUCUGAGCUAAUUAAGUUUACAUCCCACUAUUUUUAAAAUUAUCUCUACCAAAUUUCUUCUACCUAAAACUAUCAAAUUGUCAUUCUUUUAUGCAAAAUCCUUACGAAAUUUAAUCCAUUAAAUUGUUUUAAACCUUGUGCUCAAAAUUCACCAACCAAAAAACAUCACAUUUCACCCAAAAUAAAAAAACUCAAAUUUUCUCCUCUUCACAUUCUACUAAAUCCUUCAAAUUUUGUCAUUUUUUUCACUAAAUUUCUUGCUUCUAAACUUCUAAAAUUAUUUCAUAUCCCGAAUCCAUCAUAAACCCCUAAAUAUAUAGUUAGAAAAUGAUAAUUUGAAGGUUUUUGAUGAAAGAAAACUAACAGAAAGACCAAAUUUAGUUAAUUAUAAAAAAUUGAGGGACAUAAAUGGCUUGUAAAAAACUUGGGGGGACCAAAAUUGCUCCAUUUAAAGCAACUAAAAGUGCAAUUAAGCCUUGUUCAAACAUAAAGAGAUAUUGAAAUGAAUUAGAUUCAGGUUAAUCUGUGAUAAAUUGUUCAGUAAUUUGGAGAUAGUUGGUAUUUCCAUAAUUUUAUUUUUAUUUUUUCAAGCUUAUGUUAUACUACAUUAUAAGAACUAACUAGCUACAUGCUAAGUUGCUGCUGCUUUUUAUUUUAAUUUUUUAAUUUUUUUUAAUUGUCAAAGGCUUUUAUCGUUAUGGUUUGUGGUGUUGAUGGACAAUAAUUGUUCAAAUUUCUAACCAAUAUGGAAAUUAGGUUCAUGCUAAUCUGUGAUACAUUAGUUAUGUUAGUUGGAGAUAAUUGAUGUUUCUUUAAUUGACGUUUCAAGCUUAUGUUAAACUACAUGGUAUGGACUAAUAGUAUGCUACAUACAAUGCUGCUAUUUUUCUUUACUUUUUUUUGGCUUAAAUGGUUGAAGGUUAUUAUUCAUUGGGUAAAUAACAUUGCCUUUCCGCAAGAGAUGCUUAAAUUACGUUGUCCUUUCUAUAAUUUAAAAAAAUUACAAUCCCCAUCCCUAAAAGAUGGAAUGUGCUACACUUUAGUCCAUUUUAAUGUAAACAAACCCCUUGUGGUUAGUAGAGUGAGCCACAGGAACAUUUUUCCUGUGUAACUUUUGGUACCACCUCUAGCUAAUUUUGAACAUCCUAUUAUCAAAUUUUAAAACUUUAGAAACUCCUACUGCUAUCUUCCGGAUUUUACUUAAAAAAAUCUUCAUUCCAACUUCUAAAGUCUCAAAGUUGAUAAUAAGUAUUUAAAACUAGCUGCUACUGAUGCUUUGAGUUACCGAGAUAGAGAAAAUAUGCCUAAGAGGCUUGUUCACACUAAAACAAACUAAAGCAUAACAUAUGAAGUAGAGGGAAGUGCUAUUUUCAAAAGAGGAGGGAGGUCAGUGUAAAUUAAGCAUUUUUUUGGAGAAGGCUUUGGACGUUUAAACAAUUCCGAUCAAGAUCCAAUUUUGCCUUCCCAUUUUCUCGUCGUUUUUUUGUAACGGUCUUUCCAUGGCAUAUCCCUUCUCUGAUUUCAAGUACUCAGAUGGCCUCAGUGUAGUGGGUAUCUCCUUCUGCACAGCUAUUGUCUGUGAGGCUAUCUCAUGGGUUCUUAUCUAUCGGACCAAUUCUUACAAAAACCUUAGGUCCUCCAUUGACAAAGCCUCCAAGAAACUUGAGACCAUGAAGACUGACAGCAAUAAAAUCAACAUCAAGAAGUCCAAGACCAAAAAAAUUGACCGUGUUGAGACAAGCCUCAAAGAAUCUAGCCGUGACCUGUCUCUCUUCAAGUUCAAGUCUGGGGGUGUGGUGGCUCUGGUUCUCUUUGUGGUCUUUGGGUUGCUGAAUUCACUCUUCGAAGGCAAGGUUGUUGCCAAAUUGCCCUUCAAACCUUUUGGGCUUAUUAUGAAGAUGAGCCAUCGAGGGUUGCAGGGUAAUGACCCCACUGAUUGUUCCAUGGCAUUUCUGUACUUCUUGUGUUCCAUUAGCAUCAGAACAAAUUUGCAGAAGUUCUUGGGUUUUGCACCACCAAGAGGUGCAAGUGCUGGCCUCUUUCCAAUGCCUGAUCCAAAGACCAGUUGAUUGGGUUUUUACAAUAUUUAAACUUUUUAUCUCAGUUGUUUCUAGGUUGAAGAUGAUAUGGAACUGCAAAACUUCAGUCAUUUAUAUUUUUGAUUUGGUUCUCUUAGGGGAGUCCAGAAUGAUUUUAAUUGGUACAACUGAUACUGAAAACAGUCAACUCCAGUUUUACGAUGGUGAUUUUCUUGUUAAGUUUUGAUUUAAGUGCAAUAAAGACUCUUCGUCUAUGGUA